rnacentral:rRNA from 1 species
AUUGAACGCUGGCGGCAGGCCUAACACAUGCAAGUCGAGCGGAUGAAGGGAGCUUGCUCCUGGAUUCAGCGGCGGACGGGUGAGUAAUGCCUAGGAAUCUGCCUGGUAGUGUGGGAUAACGUCCGGAAACGGGCGCUAACACCGCAUACGUCCUGAGGGAGAAAGUGGGGGAUCUUCGGACCUCACGCUAUCAGAUGAGCCUAGGUCGGAUUAGCUAGUUGGUGGGGUAAAGGCCUACCAAGGCGACGAUCCGUAACUGGUCUGAGAGGAUGAUCAGUCACACUGGAACUGAGACACGGUCCAGACUCCUACGGGAGGCAGCAGUGGGGAAUAUUGGACAAUGGGCGAAAGCCUGAUCCAGCCAUGCCGCGUGUGUGAAGAAGGUCUUCGGAUUGUAAAGCACUUUAAGUUGGGAGGAAGGGCAGUAAGUUAAUACCUUGCUGUUUUGACGUUACCAACAGAAUAAGCACCGGCUAACUUCGUG